rnacentral:rRNA from 1 species
AAUAACCGAAAGGCUGAACCAGCAACUUGGAAGAAUGUAUAACGAAUGUAUCGUAUAAAAUUCUAGAUAGAAGAUCGAUAAUGACAAAUAUCUAUCUAUUAGUCUUGACCAAAUUACGUGCCAGCAGUCGCGGUAACACGCAGAAGACAAGUGUUAUUCAUCUUUAAUAGGUUUAUAGGGUACCUAGACGGGAAAUCAAGCCAUAGUAGGGACUAGUUUUCUAGAGUUUUAUGGAAGAAAGUCGAAUUUUUGGAAGAGAGAUAAAAUAUGUUAAUACCAGAUAGACGGGUAACGGCGUAGGCAACUUUUUAUGUAAAAACUGACGUUGAGGGACGAAGCCCUGGGUAACAAGAAGGAUUAGAUACCCGAGUAGUCCAGGGAGACAAUUAUGAGUGCCAUAGGCUAGAUUAAUUAGUUUAUAAAUGAAAGUGCAAGCAUUCCACCUUAAGACUAAAGCGGCAACGCCCAAAUUGAAAUCAUUAGACCAGUUCCUGAAACCAGUAGUGAAGUAUGUUAUUUAAUUCGAUGAAUCCGCGAAUAACCUUACCACGUUUUGAAUACUAUUCAAUUAAUACAAGCGCUGCACGGCUGUCUUCAGUUAAUGUCGUGAGACUUUGGUUAAUUCCUUUAAUUAACGAAAACCCCUGUUUUAUUUAUACAUAAAACAGUUCUCUACUAUAUUGGAUAAGAUAAUAGGGAUUAAGACAAGUCAUCAUGGCCUUAAUAACGUGGGCUAUAGACGUGCCACAUAUGCCUUUACAAAAGGAUGCAAUAUUGUGAAAUGGAGCUAAACCUUAAAAAAGGACAUAACUAAUCGU